rnacentral:rRNA from 1 species
AGUUUUUAACUCAAGUGGCGAACGGGUGAGUAACACGUAAGAAUUUGCCUUUAGGAGGGGGACAAGGAUAACAUCUGAGAAAUACCCCAUAUGCUUUCGAGUGAAAUGGAUUUUUCCGCCUAGAGAGAAGCUUGCGGCUGAUUAGCUUGUUGGUAAGGUAAUGGCUUACCAAGGCGACGAUCAGUAUCUGGUUUGAGAGGACGAUCAGACACACUGGAACUGAGACACGGUCCAG